CCGAACCUGUGCGAUCACUUGCGCUCUCACACUGACCGACUCGCGUCUCUUAUUUUCUCUGUCGCCAUUUCUCCGUAAAUGCCCGCUGGGUCUCUCUGUCGAGGUUCUUUUUCGCUCGCCUGCUGCCUUUCCUGCUUUUCUUGCAAGAAUGACGGGCGAAUACAUGCACUCGACAAGACGACGACGUGCUCGGUGAGGAUGCGCGUUUGCCGGUCACUGCCGUGCGCGCCCCCUCCCUUCCCCGGUAUCACAGUGGUUGCCGCGCUAGGAGAAUUUCUAUAUGGAGGGAACGGUACGGGUGCGAGGCCUGAGACACGGGCAGUGCUGCUGCACUGAUGAUGAUCUGAACAAAAAAGAGAGUCCUCCUAGAAAGCAGAAGAAUGAAAAUGCAAAAAGAGAACACAGAAUGUUAACACCGCCACCAAUGUGGCUCCACCCACGUCCCGCCGUCAAGGCGAGUGCUUCAGUUGCGUGGAAUCACCACUCCCGUAACUGGAGGCAUCCGCUUCCACGCAGAGCGCACAGACGCACAGGAAAUAAAUGAGGAGGAAGUCACGAAUAAUGCAACGCAGCUCCGAGAGGGGGAGACAGAGAGACGGAAUGUAACGCGAUGGAGCGUCUAGAGGUGCAUGAGAGCUCUCUCGGCCCCCUCCCUCUUUAUCUCCUCAAGCGACUCAAUCUUUCCCAUCCGUGAAGAUGGUGAAGGCUUCUGCUGUUGUCGAGCGGCAAGUUUUGCGCCGGGGUUGACAUGCGUCUUUGCCGUCUCUCCAAAAUGCAGAAUAUCGACCUUAACCUCAAACCCCGUGUCUUGUGACAUGUCCCUCUCUUCUUCUGAGCUCUGCAG
rnacentral:misc_RNA from 1 species